rnacentral:rRNA from 1 species
AUUGAACGCUGGCGGCAUGCCUUACACAUGCAAGUCGAACGGUAACGGGCCUUCGGGUGCCGACGAGUGGCGAACGGGUGAGUAAUACAUCGGAACGUGCCCGAUCGUGGGGGAUAACGAGGCGAAAGCUUUGCUAAUACCGCAUACGAUCUACGGAUGAAAGCAGGGGACCGCAAGGCCUUGCGCGGACGGAGCGGCCGAUGGCAGAUUAGGUAGUUGGUGGGAUAAAAGCUUACCAAGCCGACGAUCUGUAGCUGGUCUGAGAGGAUGAUCAGCCACAAUGGGAACGGGAAACGGGCCAGAAUCCUAAGGGAGGCAGCAGGUGGGAAUUUUUGAAAAAGGGCGCAAGCCUGAUCCAGCCAUGCCGCGUGCAGGAUGAAGGCCUUCGGGUUGUAAACUGCUUUUGUACGGAACGAAAAGCCUUCUUUUAAUACAGGAGGGUCAUGACGGUACCGUAAGAAUAAGCACCGGCUAACUACGUG